rnacentral:rRNA from 1 species
UGCCAGCAGCCGCGGUAAUACGUAUGUCUCAAGCGUUAUCCGGAAUUACUGGGUGUAAAGGGUUUGUAGGUGGUGAAAUAAGUUGGAUAUGAAAGACCGGAGCUUAACUUCGAGUUUGUAUUCAAAACUGUUUUACUAGAAUUAGGGAGAGGUAAGCGGAAUUCUAAGUGUAGGGGUGCAAUCCGUAGAUACUUAGAAGAACACCAAAAGCGAAGGCAGCUUACUGGAACUAUAUUGACGCUGAAAAACGAAAGCGUGGGGAGCAAAAAGGAUUAGAUACCCUUGUAGUCCACGCCCUAAACGUUGAUAACUUAGUGUUGGAGAGAGAUCUUCAGUGCUGAAGCUAACGCGAUAAGUUAUCCACCUGAGGAGUACGGUCGCAAGAUUAAAACUCAAAGGAAUUGACGG